CUCAACCCUACAGGGACUCAAGCUCCUGCACUCAAGACCCUUCCAGACUUGCGCUAUGUACCUCUUCGCCUGGCUGUUCAUCCGUCUUCUUUAUAAUAAACCAGUAAAUAUUACUAGAUAAUUGAAGAAUCUGCCUUCUGUCUCCCUAGCACCUUGCAGAGUGCUGAAAACACGAAAGUGUCCUCGUGUCAAGGUAGAGCCAAAAGAAUACUCGUGGCAAGCAACAAG